rnacentral:lncRNA from 1 species
UUGGUUUGUUAUAUAAACUAUGUUAUUAUUUUGAUGUGGCAGAUUGGAUUUAGUAUUACACUGAGCAGUUCCAACUCUGUACAAUUGUAUUCCAUACUGAACUUAUUAAAUUAUACAUCGCGCUAACCAGAGUCGUCUUUUGUUACAAGAGCUAGUCCCAGAGUUAAGAGUCCGUGCAGACUUGUCGUACCGUUUAUUGUGUGUGUGUGGUUCCAGGCCAACACAUUUCCCAGUCACAGAUACACCCAGUUUCUAUUUGUGACA